CCUACGGGAGGCAGCAGUCGAGAAUCAUUCACAAUGGGGGAAACCCUGAUGGUGCGACGCCGCGUGGGGGAAUGAAGGUCUUCGGAUUGUAAACCCCUGUCAUGUGGGAGCAAAUUAAAAAGAUAGUACCACAUGAGGAAGAGACGGCUAACUCUGUGCCAGCAGCCGCGGUAAUACAGAGGUCUCAAGCGUUGUUCGGAAUCACUGGGCGUAAAGCGUGCGUAGGCUGUUUCGUAAGUCGUGUGUGAAAGGCGCGGGCUCAACCCGCGGACGGCACAUGAUACUGCGAGACUAGAGUAAUGGAGGGGGAACCGGAAUUCUCGGUGUAGCAGUGAAAUGCGUAGAUAUCGAGAGGAACACUCGUGGCGAAGGCGGGUUCCUGGACAUUAACUGACGCUGAGGCACGAAGGCCAGGGGAGCGAAAGGGAUUAGAUACCCGUGUAGUC
rnacentral:rRNA from 1 species